rnacentral:rRNA from 1 species
UACGUAGGGGGCAAGCGUUGUCCGGAAUCAUUGGGCGUAAAGAGCGUGUAGGCGGUUCGGUAAGUCUGCCGUGAAAACCUGGGGCUCAACCCUGGGCGUGCGGUGGAUACUGCCGGGCUAGAGGGUGGUAGAGGCGAGUGGAAUUCCCGGUGUAGCGGUGAAAUGCGCAGAUAUCGGGAGGAACACCAGUAGCGAAGGCGGCUCGCUGGGCCACACCUGACGCUGAGACGCGAAAGCUAGGGGAGCGAACAGG